rnacentral:rRNA from 1 species
CACGGGGGGAGCAAGCGUUGUUCGGAAUCACUGGGCGUAAAGGGCGUGUAGGCGGUCAUGUAAGUGGGAUGUGAAAGCCCUCGGCUCACCCGAGGAUCUGCAUCUCAAACUGCAUGGCUUGAGUAUGGGAGAGGAUGAGGGAAUUCCUGGUGUAGCGGUGAAAUGCGUAGAUAUCAGGAGGAACACCGGUGGCGAAGGCGCUCAUCUGGCCCAAUACUGACGCUGAGGCGCGAAAAGCUAGGGGGGAGCAAAACGGGG